rnacentral:rRNA from 1 species
AAUCAACGCUGGCGGCGUGCCUCAGACAUGCAAGUCGAACGCGAAAGUCCCCUUCGGGGGACAAGUAGAGUGGCGCGCGGGUGAGUAACACGUAGGUAAUCUACCUUCGGGUGGGGAAUAACGCAGGGAAACUUGCGCUAAUACCGCAUAAUGCAGCGGCACCACAUGGUGACAGUUGUUAAAGCGGGGGAUUUUCGGACCUCGCGCCUGAAGAGGAGCCUGCGGCAGAUUAGCUAGUUGGUAAGGUAACGGCUUACCAAGGCGACGAUCUGUAGCCGGCCUGAGAGGGCGGUCGGCCACACUGACACUGACAUACGGGUCAGACUCCUACGGGAGGCAGCAGUCGGGAAUUUUGGGCAAUGGGCGAAAGCCUGACCCAGCAACGCCGCGUGAAGGAUGAAAUCCCUCGGGAUGUAAACUUCGCAAGAAUAGGAAGAAUGAACGAGCGCUAACACCGUUCGUGAUGACGGUACUAUUUGUAAGCUCCGGCUAACUCCGUGCCAGCA